GCACCUGUAGCUCAGUGGAUAGAGCGAUGGCUUCCGGAGCCAUGCGUCGGGGGUUCGAAUCCUCUCAGGUGUA
rnacentral:tRNA from 1 species